GGAUUGUAGCUCAGUGGUAGAGGACUUGCCUAGCAUGUGUGAAGCACUGGGUUCGAUUCUCAGCACCA
rnacentral:tRNA from 1 species